rnacentral:rRNA from 1 species
UACAGAGGGGGCAAGCGUUGUUCGGAAUCACUGGGCGUAAAGCGCACGUAGGCGGCUUUUUAAGUCAGGGGUGAAAUCCUGGAGCUCAACUCCAGAACUGCCUUUGAUACUGAAGAUCUUGAGUUCGGGAGAGGUGAGUGGAACUGCGAGUGUAGAGGUGAAAUUCGUAGAUAUUCGCAAGAACACCAGUGGCGAAGGCGGCUCACUGGCCCGAUACUGACGCUGAGGCACGAAAGCGUGGGGAGCAAACAGG